rnacentral:rRNA from 1 species
CCCCACUAUGCCCAGCCGUAAACUCUUAUUUACACCCAAAUCGCCAGGGAACUACGAGCGAAGCUUAAAACCCAAAGGACUUGACGGUACCCCACAUCCACCUAGAGGAGCCUGUCCUAUAAUCGAUAACCCACGUUCAACCUCACCAUUUUUAGCCUAUCAGCCUGUAUACCUCCGUCCUCAGCUUACCUCGUGAGUGAAACCUAGUAAGCUUAAUGCCCCUACGCCAACACGUCAGGUCAAGGUGCAGCAAAUGAAAUGGGAAGAGAUGGGCUACACUCUCUAACUUAGAAAAUACGAAAGACUACCUAUGAAACCUAGUCAGAAGGCGGAUUUAGAAGUAAAAAGAAAAUAGCAUGCUCUUUUUAACCUGGCACUGGGGUGUGUACACACCGCCCG